rnacentral:rRNA from 1 species
CGGAGGAUCCAAGCGUUAUCCGGAUUUAUUGGGUUUAAAGGGUGCGUAGGCGGCUUUUUAAGUCAGGGGUGAAAGACGGUAGCUCAACUAUCGCAGUGCCCUUGAUACUGAAGAGCUUGAAUGGACUAGAGGUAGGCGGAAUGUGACAAGUAGCGGUGAAAUGCAUAGAUAUGUCACAGAACACCGAUUGCGAAGGCAGCUUACUAUGGUUUAAUUGACGCUGAGGCACGAAAGCGUGGGAUCAAACAGGAUU